CUUCUCCACUUGUGACGCUUUCUCCCUGCAGGUGGGGGCCAUGGACUUAACCUGGAUCCUUGUGUACUAUAAUGUAUGCACUUAACCAGGUGUACCACUGCCUGCCCCCCUGAACCAAAAUUACUUAGUGGGGUACAGAAGAUGGAAGGUCUGGCUUCCAUAAUUGCUUCUUUGCUGGAGCCGGGCAUUAGCAGGUUGAGCCAUAUUCUCAAUGUGUCUAUCUUUCCCUAGUGGGAAAUCUGAAUUUUUAAUAUCUUUUUUUCUCUCUUUCCAUAUAUAUUUGGGUGUUGAGAAUCAUUGUUCUACACAUCUGAAUUACAGGCCCUUCACCAUAUCCUGUGCACAGCAGGUGUGCUCCAAAUGCAAAAUGGAAAUAUCAAGAUGAAUGAGAGGCAGAUGAAGACACAAUGGAAGAAUAUAAGAUAAAGAAGCCGUUGGCAUACAAGAACUAGCACACAAAUCUGCUGUGAUUCUUCUGUAGCCUCCAGUAAGAGAGUAUUACAGAAAGACUGGCAUCACAGUUAAUGAGAAAUGCUAGGCCUCGGGUGAUGCAUAGUGAAACUUUCUACAUUGUAAUGAUUUUUCCUCAAAUACAUUUAUUUGGUCAGAAAAUAAAGUUAUAAAUAUCA